rnacentral:tRNA from 1 species
GGAAGCGUGGCCGAGUGGUUAUGGCGCUGCAUUCAAGUGAAAGGUCUAACAGCCAAUAGCUUCCUGUAUAAAAUACAAGGCAUCGCAGUAACGUAAGUUGCGUGGGUUCGAAUCCCGCCGCUUUCA